UGAAACCCCCACCCCACUAAAUUAGCCCAAUCAGCUGCUACUACUACCACUACAGCAUGCACUACAGCUGCUACUAUUACUGCUACUACUACUGCUAGUACUGCUACUGCUCAGGGAGAGCAGGGAAAUAACAUUUUUUUUAUAAUUGGGUCAAUUCUGAAAAUAUUACAAGAGAUAGAGUAAUCAUUUUUUUAAUGAAAACAACCUACAUCCCUUGGCUAUGAUUACACGCCACAAUGAAAUUUCUGGGACACACCCUUCACUAGCAAUCUGACUGAAAGUACAGAGGGUGAAAUGUUACAUUUAACCCCGAGGUUGGGGCGCAUCAAAGAAGGAUACUAUUUGCUUUUCCUGUUGGUAAACAGUUCCAAGUGACAGUUGUAUUUCAAGGCUAUUACAAGUGCUUAAACAGAAAGAAAUGGUUUUCUGUUGUUGUACUGUCAUUCAGGGCACUGCGGUGAUAUCGGUGCGUAGGGUUCCAGGCACCGGCUCGACCAUCUCUGGAGGAAGUGGAAACAAUCAAAAAUAGCGCUCAUGACACAAUAGGCCUUCGUCCCAUGUGUGUGUCCCUGAAGCAUCCUGGGUGGGAGGGGAGGUGUGUCAUCGUCGCCAUGUGAACGGGGUAAUGUGACACACUGACACACAGAGUGGGCGGGGCCUGUUCUCAGGUGAUGAACUGGCGACAGUUAAAGGGACAGGGUUCAAUUUGUGGCCAGAAAAUCUGAUUAAAAGUCAUUUUUUUCAGGACUAAUUGGGUAAUAUACACAUACACAAAACCCCUCUGGAGACCCGAUGUCUCUGUACAAGCAGUUUUGGUAGUCACUUGAAUUGUCUGUUUGCUUCAAACUACAAACCCCAGAAUGCCACUAUAAAGCUUCCCCUCAGCAGCCCUCAGGGCCCCUCUGUGUUCGCCUCAGCUGUGACCCCAGCGGCCAUGGCGGUCAGAGACAUGGUCACAUGGUCACCCAGAUAAGCGCCUCCCUCUGGGCGGGGCCAGGCAGAGCAGGCUGGACUGACCGUUACGCUUGGCCGCUUCUCAGAACGCGGGCGUUUUAAGCUCCGCCCCACGACGGAAAGAUGGCAUCAACACGACCGCGCCUAAGGAGGGCUGGUGUCACUGGACCUGUGGGGGCUCCCUGAGAGGCUCUGAGAAGCUUUGGACAUUUUGGCUUUUUAAGGUUUUGAAAGCCGGUUUGUUUCUGUCACGCUUAUCGAGGGCUAUGAAAGGUGGGGGGGUCACUACUGCCCUGAGCCCCAACUGAACCCCAGCUGAACCCCAAGCCCUGAACCCCAGCUGAAGAGGACUCUCCCGUGUGCCGUUACGUGGAGAAAAAAAAAUCUAAAAGCGCACAAUCGCGGUCUCGUGGGGUAGACAAAGUGAUGAUGUGAGCUCUGGGUUUUAGAGUUAUGACCCGACAACCCGCUGCUGAGCUAACAGUCAAAACAGCAAAAAGGUGAAAAAUUCUGCCCCUGAAACAAGCCUUAGAGGGGCGAAGCGGAGCGCUUUUUGGGGAACGGGGUGUGACCUUUGACCUCCGGCAGAUCCUGAUGACCCUUCCCUCGUGUGCGAGUGGCAGUUGGGCUUGCACGCGCUCAGUUGGGGACUUCGCUUGGCGGUGUGCGAGUUCCGCACUGCUGGCAACACAAACAGAACCCGAGGAGGUGCUGAUGACAGGAGCCGCUGCUCCCCCAGGGGAGCGCCCCCCCCCACUCUGCACACCCCCCACUCCACUGAUGCAUCAUGGGAUAGCUUUCCGCUGGCUGCUGAGAUCGUGGGUAAUAAAUCUAGGAGAGGGCUGGGAGUGUGUGUGUGUUUGAGUGUGUGUGCGUGUGUGUGUGCAUGUGUGUGAGUUUGAGGUGUGUGUGUGUGUGUGUGUGUGUGUGUGUGUGUGUGUGAGUGUGUGUGUGUGUGUGUGUGCGUGUGUCUGUGUGUGCGUGUGUGUGUUUGUGUGUAUGUGCGUGUAUAUGUGCAUGUACGUGUGCGCGCGUGUGUGCCUAUGUGUGUGAGUUUAUGUGUGUUUGUGUGUAUGUGUAUAUGUGUGUGUGUGUGUGCGCGUGUAUAUGUGCAUGUUUGUGUGUGUGCGUGUGCGUGCGUGAGUGUGAGUGUGUGUGUGUGCGUGCGUGUGUGUGUGUGUCAGUGAGUGUGUGUGUGUGUGUGCAUGCGUGUGUGUGUGUGCGUGUGUGUGUGUGCGUGCGUGUGUGUGUGUGUCAGUGAGUGUGUGUGUGUGUGUGCAUGCGUGUGUGUGUGUGCGUGCGUGUGUGUGUUUGUGUGUAUGUGUGUGCGUGUAUAUGUACGUGUAUGUGUGUGCGCGUGAGUGUGUGUGUGUGUGCCUGUGUGUGUGUGAGUUUAUGUGUGUUUGUGUGUAUGUGUAUAUGUGUGUGUGUGUGUGCGCGCGUGUAUAUGUGCAUGUAUGUGUGUGCGUGAGUGUGUGCAUGUGUGUGUGUGUGAGUCAGUGUGUUUGUAUGUAUGUGUGUGAGUCAGUGUGUGUGUGUGUGUGUGUGUGUGUGCAUGUGUGUGUGUGUGAUGCACAGUGCUGUUAAUGAAUCCUCCCCUCGGCCGGCUAAGCAGCCCAGUGUGGGGGGAGCCUUCGUCAGCACAAACACUGUUUCCUGCUCCCCGCAGCGCCCCCCCCCCCCCCAAAACACACGCCACCGGGCCUGCUCCGUCGCCAUGGCGAAGGGGGGGUGGUGUAAUUAGGGGGGAGGGAGUGGAGCAGAGGCCAUGAGAGUGGCUGCAGCCGGGCGGUGCUUCCAGAUGACCAUGAUAUCUGACAGCUCUGCGGAGAGUCCCUCUCUCUCUCCUUCUAUCUCUCUUUCCCUCACUCCUUUCUUCUCUCUCUUACAUUCUCUCUCUCUCUCGCUCUCUCUCUCUCUCUUACAUUCUCUCUCUCUCUCUCAUUCUCUUUCUCUCUCUGUAACUGAAAUGUCAGCUGCCUGCUGUAAUCAAAUUAGAUAAAUGUCAGGCCUGGGGGAGGGCCUGGAUCGAACACACACACACACACACACACACACACACACACCCAACACACACACACACACACACACACACACUGACUCACACACAUACAUACAAACACACUGACUCACACACACACACACUCUCCAGCAGCACAAUGAUUAAGGUCAGCAGUGAAUCCAACACAAACUCCACCCCCCCCCCAAAUGGACAACGUGAAGGCUGCCUGAAUCCUGAAUCCACCUGAAUCCUGAAUCCUGAAUCCUGAAUCCACCUGAAUACACCUGAAUCCACCUGAAUCCUGAAUCCUGAAUCCUGAAUCCUGAAUCCUGAAUCCUGAAUCCUGAAUCCACCUGAAUCCUGCAUCCACCUGAAUCCUGAAUCCACCUGAAUCCUGAAUCCUGAAUCCUGAAUCCACCUGAAUCCUGCAUCCACCUGAAUCCUGAAUCCACCUGAAGCCUGAAUCCACCUGAAUCCUGAAUCCUGAAUCUAGGUAAAUCCUGAACCCUGCUCCUUGCCCUGAUCCUAAUAACCCUCUGAUUUAUGUAUCUCAUUGUGCGACCCCCCGCCCUGCCUAACGCGCUCACACGUCCGCCAGAGCAGACUGAAUCUCGCCACCCCCCCCCGUGACAGUGGGGCAGCGGUUCUAGCCCGGGUGUGAGUGCAGGCUGUUUAGACACCGAGGGCCCCAGCUCUCUGUGAAGUCUGUCAGCUCUGCUCCAACGGCGGCACUUUCUGUUCAGCACCCGCACAAUUACUACAACAUGAGCAGCGAGUGUCCAAAAUGGAAACAAUGUGUUUUUCAGUUGCUGUAACCCGAUGCUUAUUUCUAAAUUAUGUGAGGAUGUGUUUGUUCAGAUCCUGGACCACAAGAGUAAAAAAAAAAAUAGUAAUACUUAUUUUUAUAUACCGCUAUACUGUCCUAUAAUGCUGGGCAGGAUUCUCAAAAAAUACUUUUAAAAAUUAAUUUUACUGUCAAUGUUUCCACAGCAGCUUCAGCCUCUCAUCAUUACCGUCCAGAAUAAACAGGAAGUCACUUUUCCCACCCAGAAAUGCACGCAGACUGCUCCUGACACGACACCGGUACAGUCUGUACUGCCCGGGACCGCACCAUUCCCUAAAAAAACUUCACUUCCUGUCAUGUGACAGGACGUUGUGCCCGUUGUUUCAGGAAAUGUUGCGGGCGGGAGGAAGUGCUGGUUGUGUGGGAAAGCUUGAGGAGGCUGGUCUCUGCUUCAGGCCCUGAGCCAAACCCACACUGCGUCUCAUCGAGAAAGACUUUUACUUUCAGUCGACAGAUCCCCAACUCCACCAUCAGGUAUCGACUUAAAGAGCAACUACCAAAGGAAACCAUGCAGGAGAAAAGCAGUUUCAUCUUUUCUUUUUUCUUGUACAAAUAUCUAAAACAAGCAGCAGAGUCCCUGUUCCAUUCAGAGGGGGCGGGGGGAUUCCACUGGUGGGCAGACCCAGACAGGAAUUCCAGGGCCAGCCAAUGGUGAUGGCGACGGCGAGCUUGUGUUUGCCUGUCGCCGUUGUGCUUGUGUUUUUGAAGUUUAGCUCUGGGGCAGACAGUGAACAGAAAAGAGAUCACACUGAACCACAGAGAGAGAUGUAACACAAGAUACACACAGACACAACAACAGAGAGAUGUGCACACAAAUACCAGACAAAUGCACACUUUCAGUGCAAAAUAUUUCAUUAAUCAUCAAACUCAUGUUUACAAAUGCAGGGUUUCCAUAAUUUGUGCCAGUACUGUAUAUACCAGCCAACUAUAUUGUACAUCAUCAAAAGGAGAAAUUUUGGCAGCACUGAUACCUCAGAAGGUGACACAGUGAGAAGAUAUCUCACACACAGGUGAUUCUGGGGGGGGGGGGGUGGUGGUGGGGGGGGCAGGGUAAAGGUUUCCCUUCUCAUUUCUGCUCCUCCCCCCUUCCCCGGUAAGCACAAGUGGGAGAUUCCUUGAACCACCCCCUGGUGGUGCCCACUUCUGAGUGUGAGCGGGGUUUCCCAAAAUGCAGUGGGGGGGGCUUUUACCAGAAUGCACUGCAGAGCGGGCACUCUGAUCUUAAUCAGACAGAUUGUAGAUGAACAGAGAGGAAAUUUCACUGACAUCAUCUGGGGGGACACCACACCACAGAUCUCUCUCGCUGUCUCAAAUUCUAAUUCUAAUUCUAAUUCUAAUGUGCUUUAUUUGCAUGACAAGUAAAUUUGUGUUGCAAAAGCAAUGGGAUAUACAAAAUGACAAACAGACCCCUACAACCAGAACGAGGGAAAAAAAGUAUAGAUACGCACACACACACACACACACACACACACACACACACGCACAAAUGCACACAUACACACACACACACCCAGGUUAAAAUAUAUUCAUAUCAUAAUACAACAAUUUAUGAACUUGCCACAAUUAAUAAUGAACACAUAUGAUAUUGUGUAUAAUAGCAGGCAGAGACAUACUGGGCUGCCACCUCUAUUGUGCUAUCCUCUUCCGCCAGAAGAAUGUUUUAUUUAUUUUGUUCCGAUAGGUAUUCAAAUUACUUGAGACAGGAAACAGGAAGUGCGCCUCUGUUUCCACCUCAGCCAAUUAGCUCAUUUGGCCAGGGUAUUUGAUGUGAACAAAACCUGCAUUCACACCGGCCCUCCAGGAUCAGAAUGGCCCACCCCCUAUUCUCACGGACGAGCUGCUCGUGCACUGUGAUGGGACAGUACAGACAGAUCGCAAGUACCCGACUGACCAGAAGAGGUGCUGUUGAGCAAUGAGAUGGGAACACUGACUAUUAUUUAAUACCACUGAGAGGUGUCUAGUGUGUAGUGUUAUAACAGGUGUCUAGUGUGUAGUGUGUACUCAGUACGUGUACUCUGUGCAAUGACAAUAAAGUUGAAUCUAAUCUAAUCUAAUCUAA